UACGUAGGGCGCAAGCGUUGUCCGGAAUUAUUGGGCGUAAAGAGCUCGUAGGCGGUUUGUCGCGUCUGUCGUGAAAGCUUGGGGCUUAACCCCAAGUCUGCGGUGGAUACGGGCAGACUAGAGGCAGGUAGGGGAGAACGGAAUUCCCGGUGUAGCGGUGAAAUGCGCAGAUAUCGGGAGGAACACCGGUGGCGAAGGCGGUUCUCUGGGCAGUAACUGACGCUGAGAAGCGAAAGCGUGGGGAGCGAACAGG
rnacentral:rRNA from 1 species